rnacentral:lncRNA from 1 species
UUGUUGUACUAGUACUACUAUUACUUUUCUCAGUUUACAAAAUACCUAAUAAGUUCUGUUAUUAAUGGAUCCAUGCACAAGUUUUUUGCCUCUAUUAAUGGAAAUUUGAAAGGUACUCUUCAUAUUUUCUAUUUUUUUUUUUUACUUAUGAUGUUUCAUUAAAAGUUUUAUGUACAUGUGUGUGUUGUGUGUGUGUGUUUUUGGUAUAAUCAUUUGUAUUCGAAAUUUACUGAACCGAUUAAUUCAGAUUUGUGUCGUGUAUUAAGAUCGAAGCUUUGUGUAUAGUUAUGGGUUCAGUAGAAUGAAGUAAUAAGUGGUACUAUAGCUAAACACAGUGAAAAGCGGUCAGUUGAACGUCCUUCAUUAGAAAUUAUAACGAGUGGUAUAGCUACACAUAAUGAAAGGCGGUUAGUUGAAUGCCCUUCAUCAGAAAUUAUGACGAAUGGUAUAGCUACACAUAAUGAAAGGAGGUCAGUUGAAUACCCUUCAUCAGAAAUUAUAACAAGAAGUGGUAUAGCUACACACAAUGAAAGACGGUCAGUUGAACGCCUUUCAUCAGAAAUCAUAACGAGUGGUAUAGCUACACGCAAUGAAAGACGAUCAGUUCAUCGAAGUCCUUCAUCACAAAUUAUAUUGUACUAUAUAAAUAAGAAAAUACAGUACAAUAAACCUUGUUAGGCAGAAAGUAUACUACUUAUACAUUGCUAAAAUUCGACGCAGAUUAGGUAUAAUUACAUAGAAAGUAUAAAAAUUGGUAUAAGCUUUAAAAACACACAGAAAGAAACCAAAAGGAUAGCUGAGUGCUUUAGUUUUCAGGCGGAAUCUUAAAUCUUUGAGCGUUAAUAUGUUUGUUCGAAUCUCACGAACACCGACGAUCCCUAAAUCCUAGGUCCGCCACUUUCUACAAACAAAACCGGAGUCAGGAUCUUCAUGAAGGGGGUUCAAAAUUUGAAGAAAAACUAAUAAAAGAAAGGUUGAUAUCUAUUAUAUAUAAAUAAAAUAUAAUUUAGUGAUGUAUAAAUAGUAUAAUUUUUCGUCGAAAGGGAUUUGGUGAAUCCCCGUUCCAAAGACUGGUCCCGCCCCUGCCUACAAAGUACGGUCGGAAGAGAGUAGAGUGCAUACACACUGUAACUCUAUGCUAAAAGUAUAAUAACAAUAAUAUAAUUAAUAUAAUCAUAUAAAUAAACUCUGAAGAGGAUAGAAUAUACGUAUAUCGUAACUAUAUGCUAAAAAUGGAGGGCUCAAUUGAAUUCACAUUGCAACACUCCAUGUUAUACAUGGCAGUGAUAAAAAAGACAAAUAAAUACAGAAAAAGUAGGGUUUUUUCUCAGAAAAAAAAAAAAAUCUGUUCUGAAAAUGAUUGAUAUCUGUGCAUAUAUAUAUAUAAUAACUUAUUUAGUUAAUUUUUUUUUUUGUCAAUAUUUAUAAUAUAUAGUAUUGAAUUUUAUCUACAUAUAGAGUUCUUUGAUUAAUAAUUCUUUGGUAAAAUGAUUUUCUGCACUCCUGUACUAUAUCGUUUUUAUAAGUUGGACGCUUUUACUUACACAUUUAUUAUCUGGACCCUUGAACCCAUCAUUUAGGUUUCCAUCAGUUUCUUGAGUUCUAUUUUGGUGUACAAUAAUUGAUCUACCAAUUAGUUAACAUUUAAUUUCUUACCUUUUAAUGGUUUCUUAGAUAAAGAACUAUAAUUAUUUUCCCUAUUUUAGUAAGUCCCAACUCUUUGUUUAAUUGUUUUUUUUUUUUUGGUUUUGUGACACAUACUUUAAAAAAUACUAAAUAAUAAGAAUAGUUUAACUAUAUCACCUUUUAAAACAUGCUCCCUCCGUUUCAUUUUACUCGUCCUAAAUUAGGAUGACACAGCCAUUAAGAAAAAUAAUAAAUAAUAUGGCUAGUUUACCAUUGUACUCCUAUUAAAUGAUGUUUACAUUUUAAUUUAAAGAAAAAGUAAUUGAUGCAAAGGGUAAAAUAUGAAAAAAAAAUUGUCUUGUCUUAAUAAGUAAAAAAGGACAAGUAAAAUGGGACACUAGAUUAGGAAAUUUGGGACGGGUAAAAUGAGACGGAGAGAGUAAUUUAUUAGUAAUAAUUUAACUAUAUCACCUUUUAAAACAUAAUUUAUUAGUAAUAAUUUAACUAUAUCACUUCACGUUUCGGAAUUUUUAGUAGUAAGGGCUCGAACACCAUCAAUCACUCGAAAUAAAAUGUCAAGACUAAAGCUCACGAUACGCAUUGUUCGCUUUGGUAUAACAGGCCUCACAAAUACGUCUCGGACUUACGUCGUCAUUGAGCUCAAAAGCAGCAUACCAGGUAAAUUCGUGUUAUGUCUUAUAAAACUCUUAAUUUUCCUAUCUCAUUCUGGUAUAAGAUUCGUCUAAGAUAUAAUACAUAUUCCUUCUUCAAAAGCUUGCCACUGUAACCUACUUAUUUUGACUCAUCUAAAUUCAAUCCGACUCGUCAAUUUGACACCUCUAUUGUAAAAUAUAUACAAAUAGAAAACAAGUUUUAAUUUUAUUUUUUUUCUCAUAGUGUUUGUACUAGCAACUUGUAUCAUUCAAAGUUUCACCAAAUAAUAAUAAUAAUACAUUUAAUAGAAAAAUAUUUUACUAAAGUGAGACAAAGUUUAAAAUCCUUGACCUAAUUGAACAGAAGGCAGAAAUCUAAUACAGUAAAUAAGAGAUUUCACAUCAUAAUAAAUUUGUCAUCAGUUAUUUUACUGUUCUAACAGAUGUUAGUAAAUGAAAAUAGGGUAGUUGAAAAAAAAAUGAAAAUAAAGUAGGAAAAAAAUGAAUUUUUAUUUUUUUCUCACCUGGCGUUCGAUAUUCGUAACAAAGUUCAUUAAAUCCAAAUUCAUGCUACACUCUCUCACAAAGGCGAUUUUGUAAUCAGGGAGACUCGAAGCCUUAUAUUAGUUCACUUAAGUUUGUACCACUUAUAUAUUAUACUAGCGCGAAUUUAAAAUUUGAAAUUUAUACGUAUGUGGAUCCCUCUCUUUUUUUUUUGAAUCGCUAAUUAUUUUAUCUUGAUGUACCCGCACUUUAGUAUCACAUCAGCACGAAAGGGUAAUAAAAAUUUAUUAAAAUUGAGUUCAAGAGAUAAUAGUACUCAUGCAAAGUUGGAGUGUAUCGUAACAACUUUGAUCAUAAUUCCGAAGUUACCGAAUUUUUUUAUCUCUUAUAGUGGGACCCAAUUUUUCAAACCUUUGGGACCCACAAACACUUAUUAUAUUUGACUAAAAAGAGUCAAACAACAAAAACCAAGAUUAUUGGGAAAAGUAGCUAAUUAGCAAUCUUGUUAAUUAGGUGCUAUAACCCAACAAAUGAAUAUUAGGCCACAAAAAAAAACAUUAUUCUUGGAUUUUGCUAUGGCGAUAGUCUCGAGAAAACAUAAAUUAAAAGAAGAUUUUAAAAAUAAAUAUUUUCUCCGUCUGAUUUUAUGUGUCGUUAUUUUUUUUAUUAUUAAUAUAUUUUUUUAUUUGAUAAUUAUUUAAAAAUAUAAUUUUACUUUUAUCCGUAUUACUCCACUUAUUAGGCCUCAUUUAAUUAAAGAUAAUAAUCAUACAUUUUUUUUAAAAGUAUAAUUUGAUAAACGUCAUCAAGUCUUUUUUUAUUAUUAAACUUUGUAUUCGAUCAAACUAUGACACAUAAAAUGAAAUGAAUGAAUAAUAUUUUCUCUAUUAAUUUUACUUAUCCACUAUUAACUUGACACAUAUUUUUAAAAACAAUAAAUAAUUAAGAUAAUUUUUAUUUUUACUUUAGAAAAUAUAUUAAGUAAUAAUAAUAUUUACUACUACGAAUAAAAUAGAUAUAAAAUUAUAAAUUACUCUUAAAUUUAUUAUUUUUUUAAAGUAAAUAAAUAUUAUUCAUACUCUAUGAAGAGUAACUUAUUUUGAAUUUUCUUGAGAUUGAUGCCCUUUUAGUCAGUAUAGUCAGGUCUUCUCUCAUUAAAAAAACUUGUAGUACUAUACAUAUAAAAUAUACACUACUCAAAAGCUGCAAGAAAUAAUACUGUUUGAAUUAGUGUUAACAUAUUUUUUUUUUUUUUAAAAAUAAAAUAAUAAUAAUGUGAACUUGCUUUUUAUUUUUAUUUUUUCCAUCUCGUAUAUCUAUAUUGAAUCUCUGCUAAAUUCAAAUUGACGUUAGAAAAUUUCACAAUUGGAAGGAAAGCAACUAUAUAUUCAUUACUAUCGUUGUUUAUUUUUUAUUGUUUAGUAUUGACUUAACAUACUUAAAAUAAUAAAUAAAAUGAUAAUUUACUAAUAUGUCACUCUUUUAAAAUAAUAAAUUUAAUAUUUUACGAAUUUAUUAUUAAUUAUUAAUUAUUUUUCUUAAUGAAUCUGCUAAGUCAAAAUAUGAGAAAUAAAGUCAAACAGAGGGAGUAGUAGUAGUUUUUUCUUUUUUUUUUUUUGAGAAAAUAUAUUGUUUUACCCUAAACUAUAAAAGAAAUUGCUGAGACAUAUCAGAAUUUUAGGAGGGUUCUAUUACACUCUGGACUAAUUAAAAUCGUAUUUUUAGCAAUCUUAAUGCCUACGUGGUACAUACGUGUGCUUACGUGAAUCUUCAAUGUGUUAAUUUACUGAUGUGUCACUAGGCACUAAGAUUGUCAAAAUUAUAAUUUUAAUUAGUCCAAAAGAUAAUAGGAUCCUCCUAAAAUUUGAAUGUGUCUCAGACUCUUAGCAAUUUCAUGUAUAGUAAACAGUGAUUUUUUUAUUUUUUGUUUAUUUUUGGUUGAACCUCCCUUUCUUGAAUUUGGUAUAUGAAUCAAUAUCUAGGGAGCAUAGAAAGGAAAAAUGUGUAAUUAAUGACGGGGAUAUAUAAAUAAAGAAAAGUAAAAUAAUAAGAGAGAGAUUGCUUGUGCAAAUCUAGAUAAAUUGGGAAAUGGAAAGUGAAAAAUUAGGUUUCUACCCUUACUUGCUUUUGUUUCUUGUUUUGUUUUGGAAAAAUGAUCCAAGGGUGGGUGUGCUCUUUUGGGGUGGCUCAAAUCUAGGUGGCAUGCUUGGUGAAAUUUCGAUAAUAAAAAAGAUAUUUUUGAGUCAAAUAUUAAGAAAAAAUAUCGUUUUCAUCUUAAAUUAUAUCCGAAAAGUUGAAGACACACCUAAACUAUACUAGUGAUCUUUUACACACCUAAACUAUAAAAAAAGUGAUAUUUUUUACCCCCUAGAUCUGACGUGAAAAAAAUAUAAUUAAUAAAAUAAAAAAUGACACGUCUACAUAAAAAAUAAAAAUAAUGAAAAAAAUAAUAAAAAAUAAAAAACUUCCCUCCCCCACCCACAAACAUCUUCUUCAUCACCCUCACCCCAAAAAUCAAACUCCACCCUCAACCAACAAAUCUUCUUCAUCACCCUCACCCCAAAAAUCAAACUCCACCCUCAACCAACAAAUCUUCUUCAUCACCCUCACCCCAAAAAUCAAACUCCACCCUCAACCAACAAAUCUUCUUCAUCACCCCCAACCCCAAAUAAGCAAUUUCUUCACACCCCAUCCUCCACCUUCAUCGAAUCAAUAUCAAUUUCAUCAUAAAAAUAAUAAAUUUAUUAUUUUUUCGGAUGAUGCUGAUGUGGCAGCGCGUGUAAAAUACCACAUAACAUGCAAGUGGUGUAAUGCCUGACAGGGUGUAAAAAGUAUCACUUUUUUAUAAUUAAGGUGUGUAAUAGGUCACUAGCAUAGUUUAGGUGUGGCUUAGACUUUUCGGGUAUAGUUUGAGGUGGAAACGAUGCCGAAUUUCACCUUCCAAUUCAUUCAUUUUCCAAUUCAAAUAUGAUAACAACAAUGAGACUUUGAUGUUUGCUAAAGAGAACAAAAGUAUAAAAAAAAAAUUGUAGGUGAUGAAGAACAUUGUUAAAAGUUGCGCUUGAAGUUCCUUGGUUUGGAAGAAUUUCUAGAUGAUAGCCACUUCAUCAAUUUGGAAUCUGCUUUGGUUGUAGAGAAUGUCUUGUACCAACAGAGACUGGGCAUUGAAGAAAAAAAAUGACCUUAUGGAGGAUUUGGGCAGUGAAGAAGAAGAAGAAAAAAAUUAAAUUUAAAAGAAAAAAGAAAAAUUUAUGAAAAUAAUAAAUUUAUUAUUUUUUCGGAUGAUGCUGAUGUGGCAGCGCGUGUAAAAUACCACAUAACAUGCAAGUGGUGUAAUGCCUGACAGGGUGUAAAAAGUAUCACUUUUUUAUAAUUAAGGUGUGUAAUAGGUCACUAGCAUAGUUUAGGUGUGGCUUAGACUUUUCGGGUAUAGUUUGAGGUGGAAACGAUGCCCUUUUCCGAAAAAUAUUUAACGGAGGAAUAUUUUUGAGUAAAAAAACUAACGAGGGGUAUUUUUGAUCCAUUUCAGAUAGUUCCUUUUUCGAAUUCCGUUAAAGGAAGGAGUAUUUUUGAGUCAAAUAUUUAACGGAGGGGUAUUUUUGAGACAAAAAUCUAAAGAAGGGUAUUUUUGAGCCUUUUCCGUAUUAUCUUUAUCCUUAUGAAUGAGUUUCUUCGAAUAACAAGGAGUUGAAUCAACUAUUCAUUCAAAUAACAUCGAGUAUAUUUCUCAUCUAUUCUCGAGAAACAAGUAGCUGAUACUGAAAAACAUGAGCAACUUCCAUCAGAAGUUUCGCUCAAGUGAAAUGAUUACCGAUAGAACCGGCUUUAGAAUUUGAAGUUUGUGAUUCUCUUUCAUCUCAAAUUUAUAUAAACUAUAAAAAGACAAAAUAAUAGCCUACUUUGUGACCAAGAGGGCAACAUAGCUUAAAAGAUUCAUUUUCCACCAUUAGAUUUAUAACAAACUAUAUUUUUUAUAUACUCUAAAAUUCACAUAAAUGUUACUGAGUUUGCAAAAACCUCAUCAUGUGCCCGAAAUUUGUCUCUAGUCAUUGGUACUCUCAUUAGUACCCAUCUUUUGAAAUAGUGAAACUAAAUAAGUGUGGGAGGUGUUUUAGUGGCAAUCAAUGUCAAGCCCAUGCCUAAAAACACAGUACACAGACCAAACACUAUUGGGAGGGACACUAUUUCAUGCCUUCAUUUUAACUUUGUUUGGCUUCAUUAUGUUGUGUUAUAAGACAGAUGGUCACUCUCUACACAUGUUGGGAAUAGACAUUUAUACAUACAAAAAACACACAAAAAAGCAUAGGAUUUCUUUCAAUGUCCUUAGUUGUCUCUUUAACCUUCUUUCUAUCUUCCUACUACCCCUAAUUCAUCAUAGACUUAUAUAGUAGCAGUAGUACUAAUACAGCUGAAAGAAAUUUUUUUUUUUUCCUUCUGAUGUUUAAGGAUAGGACAAGUUUGCUCAUCAAAAGCCAAAGUAAAUCAAAAAAUACCAUAAAGGGUGAGAAGAAAACAAAGGAGGAAAUUUCACCAAAAGGGGUGUUGUGGAGUAGUAAAGAUCUCCUUUCUUUCUUUCUUUCUUUCUUUGAUAAGACGUCUAGAGUUCAAAUCUUGAAAAUAAAGGGUGUUUAGGAAUGAUAAUUUUUUUUUUCACUCUUGACGAGAAGUCUCGAGUUCAAAUCUUGAAAUAAAGUUUUCUCAUUGAAGAGCUCUCAAAAUUUUCAUCCAAAGGUGUGAUGGAAUGACAAAGGUUUCUACAUCCUUAACGAGAAGUCUCGAAUUCAAAUCCGGAAAACAAAGCUUUUUUGGCAAAACCCACUAACUUUAUUAACCAAACCAGAAGUUUCGAGUUCAAAUGAUGUUUUCAUAGGUAAGAAGCACUAAAACUCAACUCUCAUAGUAAAGCUCUAAACUUUUUUUCAAUUCGAAUCUGAAUUAAUAAAGUCAGUCAGUUUCGAAUAUUAAAUGAUUACAGAACAAAACAAUAUACAUAGUCCCUAGUUUACUCAAAAAUUUUCAAAAGUAUUAUCGCAUUCGUAUUAAAUUCUCCAAAAAUACGUUACUUUUGGAGGAUCCGACACUCUCCUAAUUACAUUUUUGAAGUGUCGGAUAGUACAUAGUUAGCUCAAACUUUUCAAAAAUGUUAUUGUAGUUAUAUCAGAUUCUCUUAAAAUACACUACUUUUGAAGAAUCCGUCACUCUUAGCCACUCAACUGAUAACAUUUUUAAAGAGUUCGAACAACACAGUAUACACAUUAUAUACACAUUAUAGGACACCUUUAUCACCAUUUUUCAGCCCAAAGUUUUCACCUUUUCUUGAUUCCAUAAAAAAAUGCACCAAAAAGACAAAAUCAAAACACCCUUUUAAGUUUCUUGAAAAUGGUAUUCAUCAAAAAUCCCAUCUUCAUCCUUCUUCCUAUACUAAUAUUAUCAAACACCUUGUGUCCAAUGAAUUUUUUUUUUCCGCAGAUUUUGGUUCAGUAGAUUUCAUGAAAAUGUCAGAAAUGCAAAUGCAGAUGGCUGGUUUUGUUUCUAGCUACUUUGGGGGUUGCAAAGUUCGAAUUUUUCUACUUGAAAUGGAAAUUUUCAGCUGUUUUUUCAUGUUUUCUUGAUUCGCCGGCGAGUUUGACGGAGGAAGUCGGUUGCCGGUGGUUGUUUGCGGCGGUAGACGGUGGUGAUAUUGGCGGGGACGGCUCAAUCUUUUCUCUCUCUCUGAAAAAAAAAAUGGUACUUUUAUUGUAUAUCAUUUUGAUAACUUGAUUUUUCAUUUCAUUUUUUUUUUCUAAAAUUUAAUUUUGGUUUUUUGAUGUUAUUAUUAUUACUAUUGUAGAAAAUUUGGAAUUAAUUGUAUUAUUAUUAUUAUUAUUAUUAUUAUUUCUUUUGGCAAAUAUUCUCAAGAAGAAUAUACAAUUAAAAUAGGAUUUAUGCAUAUUAUUACUUCAUUUAGUUGCUAGACAAUAUGACGAGUAAGUUUAUAUGUUUGAAAACUACAUGAAAAUAUUAUACGAUAUAAUAAUUAAUAAUAAAAAAAUAAUUAAGAUAUAUGGAAAGAUCGCUAUCAUUUUUUUUUGUUUUACUUAAAUCGAGGUUCUAUAUUCUUAAGUUACGAAUAAGGUUAUAUUUUGUUCAAAUUUUCAGAGUUAAAGUUUAUAUGUUUGGAAACUAAAUGAAAAUAUCAUACGACACAAUAAUUAAUAAUUAAAAAUCAUUAAUGUUAAUGAAAAGAACGUUCCUAUUUUUCAUUUGCUUUACUUGAAUCGAGGUUAUAUUCUGUUCUUUUAUUGAUGGUGGUGUUCUUGUACAAAUAUCGUUAUCGCAGAAAAAUCAGUUUGACUUUAAAAAUCAAUUUAAAUGAAAAAAAUAUUGAUUUGUUUUCAUAAAGAGAUGAAUUUGAAAUAUUAAUCUUUAUGUUGAAUAUUUUUUUUUUUUUCAAUUUAUUUUUAUUUGGUUUUGAGAUUUGGAUGUUUAAUGUGGGGUAGUUGAAUAGAGAGAUGAUGACAUAACCAAAGCUAGUAGGUGAAAUUACUAGGUUUGCACUUACUAAAAUAGGAUAAUAUAUAGUAGAAAUUUGGGUAAAACUUUUGCCAUAUUGGGUAUAUAUAUAUAUAUAUAUACUAGUUUAAGUGUACGCGUUUUGCGUGUGUAUCUUAUUUUGAUGAGUUCAAACAUUACACUAAAUAAGAUAUUUGUUUUAAUAAUAAAGAUGAAUACAAUAAUUAAAUUUAAUAUAUUUUGAGAAUGUAAAGAUGGAGAAUUUAUUUAUUAAAUCUAACCUUCAUCAAAAAUAUUUUUAAAAAUGGAUUUACAUUCAUCUAUCAUCUGUAAAUUGCAACAAAACAAUAUAAUGAUAGAGACAUCAAAACAAUACAAUUAAAUCUAAUAAUUACACACAAAAUUUUUCUCAAAAUCGUUCGACACUCAUCUACUAUCAGUAAACUAUAACAAAAUAAUAUGAUAAUAGAUAUAUCAAAAUAAUACAACUAAAUCUAACCUUUACAUAAAAAAAAAAUCCCAAAGCAGAGAUAUCAAAAUAAUACAAUUAAACCUAACUUUUAGCUAAAAAAUUCCUCAAAGCCGACCAACAUUUAUGUACCACCUGUAAACUACAACAAAGUAAUUCGAUAAAAGAGAUAUCAAAACAAUACAAUUAAACUUAAAUUUUACACACAAAAAUUUCUCAAAACCGAUCGACAUUCAUCUACGAAUUGCAAACUACGUACCCAAAAUAAUAAACUAAUAGAGACAUUAAGAUAAUACAAUUAAACCUAACUUUUACAAGUCAAACGACAUUCAUCUACCAUCUGUAAAUUAAAAUAAAAUAAUAAGAUAAUAAAAAUAUCAAAACAAUACAAUUACACCUAAUCUUUUGACAAGAAAUUCUUCAAAGUCAACCAACAUUAAUCUACGACUUGUAAACUACAACAAACAAUAUAGUAGGAAUCACAAAGUUUUGAUUUUAAUAAAAUUAAUUUUUAUUUGAUCGAAAAUUUUGACGCUAAAGAAUAACCCUAAAACUAAUUAUUGUUUUUAUAUUUGGAAAAGGAAAGUCUCCUUAGGCGGUGGACAGCUCAUGCAAAUAUACAGUCGAAGGUAUAGUAACUUUAAAUUAAUAUUAAUUAAUUUUUAUUUCAUAUAUUUUAGGAGUCCUAUAUAUUUUAGAAAGUUUAAUUAAUAUAAUAAAAAAAUAAUUAAAGAAAAUAGUGAAAAAAUAAUUUUGCCUGAAGGAGAGCUUUUUAACGAAGGGUAAAAAGUUUAAAUCACUUUUCUAAGGGUUUUUACACUUUUAAUAUAUUAUUAUAGAUAUAGAUUAUAGAUUGUAGAUAUAUAUAUUUAUAUAUAUUUAGUGUUAUAGAUUGUAGAUAUAUAUAUUUAUAUAUAUUUAGUGUUACGUUUGUAGUUUUUUUGUUUUUGAACUUUUGAUUGUUAUUUAUUGUUUUGAAUAGAUCGAUUUCACACGUAUAUAUAUAUAGUGUUAUGUUUGUAGUUUUUUAGUUUUUGAACUUUUGAUUGUUAUUUGUUGUUUUGAAUAGAUCGAUUUCACACAUAUAUAUAUAGUGUUACGUUUGUAGCUUUUUUGCUUUUUGAUUGACAUUUGUUGUUAUGAAUAGAUCGAUUUCAGUAUUAUGUAAUGAUAGUUCUCUAUUAUUCUGUUACUAUCUGGUGUUGUUUUACUUCCUGUUAUUUAUAGUAUUUUUAUUUGUCUUGAGCUACGGGUCUGUUGGAAAUAAUAUCUCUACAUCACUGUUCAUUGCACGAGCAGAGCCAUCUUUAGCUCAAGAGGUUCGUCUGAACCUCUUUCAAUGAAAAAUUACACUAUUUAUAUUGUUAAAUCUAUUUUUUAUGUAUGUAUAGUCGAUGUUAAACCUUCUUUGUUUGGUUUAUAUGUUUACUUCUGAACUCCCUUAUUAAAAAUUCUAACUCCGUCAUUGCUGUUGAGACAAUAAUACGAGCUGUGUAUAUUCUAUUCUUUCCAAACCUCAUUUUUCUGAGAAUAUAUUGGGUAGAUUAUAGUAAUAAUAGUACAAGAUUUUAUUUUCUUUUUAAAAAAAUAUUUAAUAAUUUAUAUCAUGAUUUCAUAUCCUUGAAUUUUUAUUUUAUUUUUAAAAAUCAUUUUGUUUUCUUCUAUGCACGUGAAUUUUGGGAGUGAUUUUUUGUUUUGUAUUUUUAUGGGGUCCUAAAUUGAGUUGAGAAUUUUCCAUGAAAUGGACUAAAUUUUGGACCUAUUGUGAUCUUGAAAUAUGAUUUUGGGUGAUUUUUGUCUUUUUUGAAACUUACAAAUUAUAUCUGGUGCUUCUUAAAUAUAAAAUAUUUUGCAUUUUUGAAUUUUUUUUAAUGUUAUCUCAGUGUAAACUUAUACGUCACAAGGUUAGUGACGGAAUCAAAAUUUUUAUUGAGGUAAAUAUACGAAUUAGUCGGAAGGGGUUCAACAUCUACUAUAUAUACAUAAAAAAAUAUGUUUUAACAUGUAAAAAGUAUAAAAAUAGUAUAAUCUUUCGUGGAAUGAACCCUUGAAUGAAAAGUGCCAUUAAUACUAGAAAUUUGUCAGUAAGAUAAGGCUAGAAAUUUAUUUACAGGUAUGUAUCAUACAUAAACUUUGAUUUUUCACAUGAAUGUAAAACUGUAAAAUUGUUUUUAACAAUAAAAAUAAAUAAUUGUUCAAUAAACAGCCAAUUUUGCAGACUGAACCAUUAAAAAGAACAUAUCUUACACUGUUCUCUCCAUUUUUUUUGGGUCCCAUUUUCUGGCUAAGAUUUAACUAUAUUCAAAAAAAAAAAAAAAAAUUGUGAUUUUUUUUUUUUCAAUUGCAAUUACCUAAAAAAAAAAGAAAAAUUGGAGUUACUUUAUGUCAGAAGAUGUUGAUAGUUUGUUGUCCUAUAUUUAUAUAUGAAAUGUUUUAUUGGCAAUAUAAUAGUGAAAAAAUAUGAAAAAAAAUAAAAUUAAUACUAUUAACUAUCCAGAACCAUAGACAAGGUACUCGUUAAAAAUAACAUAAUCAUAUGCGAAAUACUGAAUUUCUAUCGAUGCCAUCUAUCGAGGAAUAUAAUGACAUUCCACGGCUCGCAUACUAGAAAUUAAGAUUAUCUGCAUAUAUCCUAUUCUUCUCAGAUCUAAUUCGUAGGAUUACACCGAAUAUAUUAUUUAUUAUUGUUGUUAUUUAUUACUUCUAUUGUCAACUGAGAGGUUUUAAGAGUCAUCGCACCAAAGGAUGUGAUGCAAUGAGUGAGACUACUCCUCCCUUAAUCAAAGGUCUAGAGUUCGAGCCUUGGGUAUGAAAAAUUCUUGGUAGAAAGCCCUACUCCGAAUGGGCCCUACCCGACGCGAAUUUGAAUUAAUCAGACUAUCGACCAUCGGAUGGGAAACAAAAAAAAAAAAAGAGAGGUUUUAAGAGUCAAAUGUUUUAUAAGGUCAUUGGGAACUUUUUUAGGUCAACUCCAUCAACCUAGAAAUAUGAUUUCUUUGUCAAUUAGAGAUUAAUCAUCACAAUGAGAAUGUCAACUCAAAUUUCAAACCACAACUUGCACUAUAGGCCAUAAUUACUAUGUUUGACAUGUCUAACUAGUGUCAACACAACCAAAUAAUUGAUGAAUGAUAAUACACCACCAAAAGUUGCAAAGAAAUGAAUGGAAUCUUAUCCAAUCUUAAUUAGAGAGCUCAGGUUCGAGUCUUGUUCUGCUAUACUAUAUUAGUUGAUGAAUACAAACUCGACUAAUAUAAUAGAAAGUAAUCUAAAACUCUCAAAAUGGAAAAAUCAUAGAGAACGUAUCGCCCUCUAAUGGGGCUAAUGUGACGCCAAUUCAGAUUAAUUGAAACUCCAAUACGAGUAUAAGGAACCAACAUUUUAUCGUCACCAUUCAAUAGCUCUAGAUUUUUUCCAUGGAUGGUUAUGUUUCCACUCAUGCUAUUUGCACACUUACACUUGCCUUAAACAACAUAUAUAGUGAGUGACAUUCCACAAGUGGUGUCUAGGAACGACAGUGUGUAUGCAAACCUUGCCCCUACCUCGCGGAGGUAGAGAGGUUGUUUCUGAAAAGACCCUCGGCUCAAGUGUAGCGAAUCAAAGUUACACUUACCUUAAACAUGUCAUGAAUUUGCUUUCAAAGCACAGUGAGUCCAUAGUUGUUGCAGCAAAUCUUACCUUCUUUACAAAUUCUGCUUUCAACAAUCUACCUAUUGCAAAGAUAUUAAGCACAAAGAACCGGUUUACACAUCAGCAUCGCACAUUCAAUACUGGAAACAGCACGAUAAGAUGGAAAAUAACGAAGUUUAUUAGCCACCAAGUCAUAAACACGAAAUCUCAAAGAAAUCAACUUCAGAGAAAACCAUGGUCAAUCGAUUUAUUCCUUUAGCAGCUUCUUGUGUGUAUGGUGAAAGUGAAAUGAACAAGGAGACAAACCAAAAAUACCGGUUUCUAAUGGCCUAUUCAAUGAAUACUUCAAUAACAAUAUCCGUCUAUAUAAAACUCAGCUGGCUUAAGUGGUUCAAUUCUACCGUCUAUAUGAACUCAGCUGGCUUCAGUGGUUCAAUUCUAUCGGCUAUAUGAACUCAGCUGGCAUCAGUGGUUCAAUUCAAUAGUCUCAACCCAUCAAGAUUGGGGGGGGGGGGGGCUGGGAGGGGAACUACGGUGGAAAGAAUCACAGUCCACCAUCUUUUUUUUAAUACUGAGAAAUUCAUCCGGAAUAGACCUUUAGGACCAAUUGCAACCUGAGAUACUCGGGGAAGAUGAACCCAUCCCUCUACGCUUUUCUACUUAAAUACCAGUGUUUAGGCGGCCACCAUUUGUCAUUGAUUGUUCACAAAAUCUGCUGCACCAUGGGGCCGAGAUCACCCAGAUAUUUAUGACCGAGAAAUCUGUUAGGAGCCAACCCUUCAUGCUAACUACAAACUUCUAAACUUCAAGUAUGAUGGGGCCAUCCUUCUACCCUUCCCCACUUAAAUGGUCCACUUAGUUAGCUUGGCAUAAGACGCGAACUUGUAACCUAAGACAAAUCCCUCAACCAUUGCAAACCCCUGAGGGCCUCCGGUGAUAAUCCAAUUAUAAUGCAAUACCGUGUUUCCCUUCUUAGUAACAUUAAGAUUCAGAAACAACAUCACAUACAUAUUCAGAACUCAUUCAGGGUCUUGCAGCAGCAUAUAUCCAAGCAGAUAAGCUCGCUGAAGAUUGGUAUCAUAACACACUAGUAGGACUACCAAUUAGGCAGAACAACAUAGCCAGUGCAAUCCCAUAAGUGGGGUUUCGGGAGGGUACUUUGUACGCAGACCUUAUCCCAUAUCUUGGGAGGUAGAGAGGUUGUUUCCGAUAGACCCUCAGCUCAAGGACGACUACCAAAAAACAAAAUGUCCUGGCCAAGCAAACAAUCUACUGAAAAUGGCAUGUCAAUUAAAAUUAACGUAAGUAUGACAUAUGACAUUAGAAUUAGAGUUACUGUUGAGUACAAAUGAUCAGCCACAAAAGUUUGAGCAAUUACUCACGAGUAUCAGCAAGUCAAGUCAUUGGAAAGAAUGUUAUCAGGUUAGAAACUAAAAUUAUGAAUCAACAAGCAUUGCCAUAUCUCUGGAAGCUUCCUGUGUCGAUGGUCAAAGAAUUCUGUGGUUCCCUUUUUUGUUUUCUGUCUGCACGACAGUGACACAUAAUGAUUAGGGGGAGGAUAUUUUCUCCCUAUAAUGCACAAACGUACACAAGACAAAUUAAAUUCAGCAUUUUCCCCCAUUUUGUCAAUAUCCGUCUGUAGGUGAAGAUUUCAGCGCAUUUUUAAGCUUCUCUUAUUUUUGGUUUUAUAUAUUAAAAGAAAGUGUCUAGAUGUUGAAUGAAUAAUAAUUUGGAUAUUUAUCCAUCACAUAUCGAAAUUGUUACAUUCCCGCCUUCUUUGUAUUGAUAUAGCCCUCAAAACCAGCAAGUCUACAGAUAUUGGAGAGGACAAUUAUAGCUUAGAAGUAUAACCUACUCUUGUUCAAGAAAUCUUGUGGGACCAGCAUAUAUAGUUUGAAUAUAUGUCCAUUUGAGAGACCACUAUAUGAACUACACAUACCCAGUGUAACUCACAAGUGGGAUCAGGGGAAGGUGUGUUGUGUACGUGACCUUACCCCUACUUGUGAAGGUAGAUAGAUAGGUUGUUUCCGAUAGACCCUCAGCUCAAGCAAAGAUGUUCAUAAAUGGAUCAGGAUGUGUUAUAACUAUGGAAAUUCUGCAGAAAAGUUGUGUUUCAUGCCCUUCUUCCCAGUAACAUCAAGAGUCAAAACAAGCACUAAAGCACAAAUCUAAAAGAUGAUUGUGGAAUUGGACAGCAGCAUAAAUACAAUACAUAUAAGCUCCCUGCAGAUCGGCUAGUAGGAACCUUUGGCAGAAUAGCAUCAAACAUAAAAAGUCUAGCCCGGCAACCAAUAUGCUGGAACUGGCAUGCAAUCGUCUGUCUGAUCUAACCUAAGCACAGCAUAGUAGUAUACAUCCCAGCACAACUACUUAACUUCGUAUGAUAAUACUUCUUUCUUCCUUGUUCUUUUAUAGACCUCCUCCUUCUUUUUCUUUUCUUUUCUUUGAGGAAAGUAAAAUAUAUUAUUGAUGAAAAAAAAGCACUAGCACUUUAUGAUAAUGAUUCUAUAGUAAGUAUCUAACAUGACACUUAGGUUGUAGUUAAUUAUAAAUUCCAGGUAGAAAGUAAAGUUUUGAGUUAUUAGUGUAGAUCCCAGCUAUCUCGAGGAAAGGUCGGUAACAACAAGCCUGUCUCUUUUAUCAUAUAUAUGAAAUGGCGACAUUCUUAAGAAAAAGGUGAUCCACUAGCAGUUGUAGGGCGAGGCUCCUAGCAAUGGAGGGAAAGGGGACUGGGUAAGCGAACUCCUUUCACUUGAUUAGUAGUUAGGAGUGAUUUUUUUUGCACAUCCUCUGCCCUUUUUCUCUUUCAAAAUAGAAGGAUUGGCAUUUGGCCAAAGAUGUAAUCUCUCUUUUCUUGGUUGCAGUGGAACUUUAUUUUCAUUUAGCAAGGAACCGUGUCAUUCGACGUCAAAUAAUCAACGCCCAAAGCGUUAGGCAUCUUUUGAGCAUGUUCAGCAUCCAAAAUUCCUGGAGUUACGCUAAGGCAUUAUAACAGAAGGAUGACAUGACUAUCUGAACAGAAAUUAAAAUUACGACAUCGGCUGUGAUUUUAGACUCACUGAAGAAACCCAUUCACUCUAUUAACAGGUAGUGCUUGCAACCCCACAUCCCAAGAGC